UCUCUCUUUUUUCUCUCUUUAGAAAACUAGUUACAGAUGCGAAGGAAAGCUAGACAACUCGUUCUCCUCAUGUUUCUGGAAAGCUGACAUGACGUCACACAAAGCUUUCAUCAGCCGUGUCAGCAGAAUUGGGAAGUCUGUGGUUGCUCAAUGGUUUUCCUGGUAACAGAAAGUGGACACACGAGGACUUUGAAGAAAUGAAGACCCUGAGACCCAUUCUUCUCACUUGCGACACGGGGACAGGAAGUCCCUCCCCAGUUCCAGCAAAACCAGGGUUUAAAGAGCUCUACAAAACAUCACAGGACCAACAGACAGAUGUGCCAACCAAUAGAGGACCCAGAAAUCCACACACCCCACUCCAGCAACCUGACUUCCUAUAAAGG